UUGACUACAGUGAAAGACGCGCCUUCACUGUUUUCUCUCGAAAAAGUGAUUGCGUACACCAGAACCUGAACGAAUUCUUUCCGUUUUUUUUCACGGGAUUCCCGAAUUCCUCGACGUUUAUCGUGGUGGCUGUUUGGCAUCGACGGUACCGAAUUUUCUCCCGGAUCAGUCAUCUUUUAGAAGAAGAAUUGUGCAAAAUGUUUGAAUUGCCGGAAUCGGGCGGACGGAUGUUCUUCAGCGGAAGGCCUGGAUUCAGGUUAGUUUUCGAUUUCGCUAAAUUAACAUUUCCGGAACGAACUGCUUUCGCAUGUUGGGGGCUCAGCCGUUACCUCAACCUCGAACAACUGUGAUGGUUGGAGAUGGUUGGUGCUAAUCUCAUAUGUAGCAUAAUUGACAUCCCAUGCACCAAUAAAACGACGAAAGCAGGAGCGCUUCUGACAGAUCGUCAAAGUUCAACAAAAACCCGUCCAGCAUUAUCAUACCGGAUGAGCACCACAGCAGCAGAAGCGAUAGCGAGUUCGAGCGGAAGAGCAGCAUCAGUAACAUAGUCAUCGAUAAGGACGGAAGCUAGUGAAAAAGUAUAGCUUCGAUUAUUGUCACAUUUUUAUCGCCAAGGUAUGGACGACGUUGCUGGCGUAGCUCAUUAUUGACAUCUAAGGAACCGUGCGCCGAAAAUUGUAGUGAAUUUGAAGGCUGAAAACGUGGUAAUCAACAGCACCAACAUAGCCACGUAAAGAUUUCCAUGUCGUCUUUUUCCCCGCCGCUGCUGUCGCAGAAAUGAAACCGUGGAUCCGUAGUAUUUUGAAGGACUCGAGAAAAGGUUUCAAGCGUCUAGUCGUGAUUUCUUUUUUUGCGGUACAACGGUCACUGCAGACGGCAUCGUAUACCCAACUGGACUUCUGGAUUCACCGCACCUGACGAUAAAACGGAAAAAAUGCGCCAUCGGUAACCUGGCGCACUGCGUAAAUGUAAUCGGGAUCCGGAGAUUGUGAGACGGCAUCGUAUACCCAACUGGACUUCUGGAUUCACCGCACCUGACGGUAAAA